rfam:Hypholoma sublateritium FD-334 SS-4 unplaced genomic scaffold scaffold_132, whole genome shotgun sequence.
GGCGCUGUAGUGUAGCGGUUAUCACUCAAGAUUCUGAGGCGCCCGCAACUCCUAGAUCUCUGAAUUCUUGUAACCCCGGUUCGAUUCCGGGCAGUGCCU